AUGAACGCUAGCUACAGGCUUAACACAUGCAAGUCGAGGGGCAUCAGGAAGAAAGCUUGCUUUCUUUGCUGGCGACCGGCGCACGGGUGAGUAACACGUAUCCAACCUGCCCUUUACUCGGGGAUAGCCUUUCGAAAGAAAGAUUAAUACCCGAUAGUAUAAUGAUUCCGCAUGGUUUCAUUAUUAAAGGAUUCCGGUAAAGGAUGGGGAUGCGUUCCAUUAGGUUGUUGGUGAGGUAACGGCUCACCAAGCCUUCGAUGGAUAGGGGUUCUGAGAGGAAGGUCCCCCACAUUGGAACUGAGACACGGUCCAAACUCCUACGGGAGGCAGCAGUGAGGAAUAUUGGUCAAUGGGCGCUAGCCUGAACCAGCCAAGUAGCGUGAAGGAUGAAGGCUCUAUGGGUCGUAAACUUCUUUUAUAUAAGAAUAAAGUGCAGUAUGUAUACUGUUUUGUAUGUAUUAUAUGAAUAAGGAUCGGCUAACUCCGUGCCAGCAGCCGCGGUAAUACGGAGGAUCCGAGCGUUAUCCGGAUUUAUUGGGUUUAAAGGGAGCGUAGGUGGACUGGUAAGUCAGUUGUGAAAGUUUGCGGCUCAACCGUAAAAUUGCAGUUGAUACUGUCAGUCUUGAGUACAGUAGAGGUGGGCGGAAUUCGUGGUGUAGCGGUGAAAUGCUUAGAUAUCACGAAGAACUCCGAUUGCGAAGGCAGCUCACUGGACUGCAACUGACACUGAUGCUCGAAAGUGUGGGUAUCAAACAGGAUUAGAUACCCUGGUAGUCCACACAGUAAACGAUGAAUACUCGCUGUUUGCGAUAUACAGUAAGCGGCCAAGCGAAAGCAUUAAGUAUUCCACCUGGGGAGUACGCCGGCAACGGUGAAACUCAAAGGAAUUGACGGGGGCCCGCACAAGCGGAGGAACAUGUGGUUUAAUUCGAUGAUACGCGAGGAACCUUACCCGGGCUUAAAUUGCAGUGGAAUGAUGUGGAAACAUGUCAGUGAGCAAUCACCGCUGUGAAGGUGCUGCAUGGUUGUCGUCAGCUCGUGCCGUGAGGUGUCGGCUUAAGUGCCAUAACGAGCGCAACCCUUAUCUUCAGUUACUAACAGGUCAUGCUGAGGACUCUGGAGAGACUGCCGUCGUAAGAUGUGAGGAAGGUGGGGAUGACGUCAAAUCAGCACGGCCCUUACGUCCGGGGCUACACACGUGUUACAAUGGGGGGUACAGAAGGCAGCUAGCGGGUGACCGUAUGCUAAUCCCAAAAGCCUCUCUCAGUUCGGAUCGAAGUCUGCAACCCGACUUCGUGAAGCUGGAUUCGCUAGUAAUCGCGCAUCAGCCACGGCGCGGUGAAUACGUUCCCGGGCCUUGUACACACCGCCCGUCAAGCCAUGGGAGCCGGGGGUACCUGAAGUACGUAACCGCAAGGAUCGUCCUAGGGUAAAACUGGUGACUGGGGCUAAGUC
rnacentral:rRNA from 1 species